rnacentral:rRNA from 1 species
GGGGAAUUUUCCGCAAUGGGCGAAAGCCUGACGGAGCAAUACCGCGUGAGGGAGGAAGGCUCUUGGGUCGUAAACCUCUUUUCUCAGGGAAGAAAAAAAUGACGGUACCUGAGGAAUAAGCAUCGGCUAACUCCGUGCCAGCAGCCGCGGUAAUACGGAGGAUGCAAGCGUUAUCCGGAAUGAUUGGGCGUAAAGGGUCCGUAGGUGGUACUGUAAGUCUGCUGUUAAAGAGCAAGGCUCAACCUUGUAAAAGCAGUGGAAACUACAGAACUAGAGUGCGUUCGGGGCAGAAGGAAUUCCUGGUGUAGCGGUGAAAUGCGUAGAUAUCAGGAAGAACACCGGUGGCGAAAGCGUUCUGCUAGGCCGCAACUGACACUGAGGGACGAAAGCUAGGGGAGCGAAUGGGAUUAGAUACCCCAGUAGUCCUAGCCGUAAACGAUGGAUACUAGGCGUGGCUUGUAUCGACCCGAGCCGUGCCGGAGCUAACGCGUUAAGUAUCCCGCCUGGGGAGUACGCACGCAAGUGUGAAACUCAAAGGAAUUGACGGGGGCCCGCACAAGCGGUGGAGUAUGUGGUUUAAUUCGAUGCAACGCGAAGAACCUUACCAAGACUUGACAUGUCGCGAAUUUCGGUGAAAGCUGAGAGUGCCUUCGGGAGCGCAGACACAGGUGGUGCAUGGCUGUCGUCAGCUCGUGUCU